rnacentral:rRNA from 1 species
UACGUAGGGUGCAAGCGUUAAUCGGAAUUACUGGGCGUAAAGCGUGCGCAGGCGGUUGUGCAAGACAGAUGUGAAAUCCCCGGGCUUAACCUGGGAAUUGCAUUUGUGACUGCACGGCUAGAGUGUGUCAGAGGGGGGUAGAAUUCCACGUGUAGCAGUGAAAUGCGUAGAUAUCAGGAGGAACACCGAUGGCGAAGGCAGGUCUCUGGGCUGACACUGACGCUCAUGCACGAAAGCGUGGGGAGCAAACAGG